CUGGUCAAGCCAGUAACUUCAACCAGACAUGCCUGCAUAUAUCUGAGGGCAGAAUCUGGGCCUAAGUGUUGAAAAAACACACAAUCUCCUAGUGGCUUUAAGGACCUUGGAACUGGUGGCCCGAAGGACUUUUCUCCCCACCUCUCGCAAACAGAAUGAUCAAAAGGAGGGAGCAGCAGUAUCAAGAGAGGAGGAAGCUCUCCUUUGUUCUUCGCUUCUAACAUCAUUUUAACAAAUAAACAGGACUCAUACUGGAAGUAGCAAGACAGAAAUCCAUCUCAUGAGCAGAAGCCUGUGGGAGAAGAUAAGUGACAGCAACAAUACAGGCUCCACGCUGCCGCUGUCGUUGAAUGACAAGUAACACAACACAGAGUAACAGAUCUAUAGGCCUGACCUCUUAGAGUGAAUAAAGCACACAGGGGGCUCCUGGCCGACCUGGCAACUUCCAAAGUGCACAAACAAGAAGCCCCCAUGCUGUGUGUUGUAUGUGGAGGCCUGGAGCCUACUGGAGUAGUGUGGAAGCCUGGAAACACCAUAUUGGCCCUACAUCUGCGUUCCAUCUCUAAGAGUUACGAACAACCUCCAGUCCAGACCUAUUGCUGGCUGCUUCCGAGGUGCAGCAUGGUCCGCGGUGCCAGGACAGGCGGGAAGCCUGCAUCUGCACCCCGGCU